rnacentral:rRNA from 1 species
CAAUAGCGUAUAUUUAAGUUGUUGCAGUUAAAAAGCUCGUAGUUGGAUUUCGGGUGGGACGCAGCGGUCUCGCAUUGCGUUUGUACUGUUGCAGCCCUCCUUCUUGCCGGGGGCGGCCUCUCGGACUUCACUGUCUGGGGGUCAGAAUCGGCGAUGUUACUUUGAGUAAAUUAGAGUGUUCAAAGCAAGCUUACGCUCUGAAUAUAAUAGCAUGGGAUAACACGACAGGACUCUGGCCUAUCGUGUUGGUCUAUAGGACCAGAGUAAUGAUUAAGAGGGACAGUCGGGGGCAUUCGUAUUCCGUUGUCAGAGGUGAAAUUCUUGGAUUUACGGAAGACGAACAUCUGCGAAAGCAUUUGCCAAGGAUGUUUUCAUUGA